GGUUCGAUUAUGGCUCAGAUUGAACGCUGGCAGGAUGCUUUACACAUGUACAGUCGAACGGCGGCACAGACUUCGGUCUGGGUGGCGAGUGGCGAACGGGUGAGUAAUGUAUCGGAACGUGCCUAGUAGCGGGGGAUAACUACGCCAGCGCUGCUUCAGCCACAUACGCCCUUCGAGGGAAAGCGGGGGACCUUCGGGCCUCGCUAUUAGAGCAGCCGAUAUCGGAUUAGCUAGUUGGUGGGGUAACGGCUCACCAAGGCGACGAUCCGUAGCUGGUUUGAGAGGACGACCAGCCACACUGGGACUGAGACACGGCCCAGACUCCUACGGGAGGCAGCAGUGGGGAAUUUUGGACAAUGGGGAAGCCUGUGGUGUUAGCCAUCCCGCGUGUACGAUGAAGGCCUUCAGGUUUAUUAAAGCACUUUGGCGAGAAAGAAACGGCACGGGAUAAUACCCCGUGCAACUGACCAGUACCUGCAGAAUAAGCACCGGCUAACUACGUGCCAGCAGCGCGGUAAUACAUGGUGCAAGCGUUAUUGAAUUGGGCGUAAAGCGUGCGCGACGGUUCGAAAGAAGAAGAUGUGAAAUCCAGAGCUUAACUUUGGAACUGCAUUUUAACUACCGAGCUAGAGUGUGUCAGAGGAGGUGGAAUUCCGCGUGUAGCAGUGAAAUGCGUAGAUAUGCGGAGGAACACCGAUGGCGAAGGCAGCCUCCUGGGAUAACACUGACGCUCAUGCACGAAAGCGUGAGGCAAGCAGGAUUAGAUACCCUGGUAGUCCACGCCUAAACAUGUCAACUAGCUGUUGGGGCCUUCGGGCCUUGGUAGCGCAGCUAACGCGUGAAGUUGACCGCACGAGAGUACGGUCACCCAAGAUUAAAACUCAAAGGAAUUGACGGGGACCCGCACAAGCAGUGGAUGAUGGAUUGGAUCGAUGCAACACGAAAACCUUACCUACCCUUGACAUGUCACGGAAUCCCGAAGAGAUUUGGGAGUGCUCGCAAGAGAACCGGAACACAGGUGCUGCAUGGCUGUCGUCCAGCUCGUGUCGUGAGAUGUUGGGUUAAGUCCCGCAACAGGCGCAGCCCUUGUCGUGAUUGCUGAAAGGGCACUCUAAUGAGACUGCCGGUGACAAACCGGAGGAAGGUGAGGAUGACGUGAUCCUCAUGGCCCUUAUGGGUAGGGCUUUACACGUCAUACAGUUAAAAUGGUCGGGACAGAGGGUCGCCAACACGAGGAGGCCAAUCCAGAAACCCGAUCGUAGUCCGGAUCUGGUCUGCAACUCGACUGCGUGAAGUCGGAAUCGCUAGUAAUCGCGGAUCAGCAUGUCGCGGUGAAUACGUUCGGGUCUUGUACACACUAACCGUCACACCAUGGGAGUGGGUUUUUACCAGAAGUAGUUAGCCUAUCGCCGUAAGGAGGGCGAUUACCACGGUAGGAUUCAUGACUGGGGUGAAGUCGUAAUGAGUAG
rnacentral:rRNA from 1 species